CUCGGCCAUAGUUCUAGUGGGAUCACUGGCCAUUCUGGUGGCAUCCUGCUAGGCGUGAAGGAUGCCACCUUUGAGGUUGGGGGCAUGGAUCAGGGGGAAUUCUUCAUGAGUAUGGAGAUCUUCGAGAGGGCCCUCAACUUUAAAUGGCAGGUCGUGGUUGUUUAUGGCCCAGCCGAUCAUCGCCGCUCCCCGGCCUUCAUGGAGGAGCUUCAUCUGAAGAUCUCCAACUCUCUCCUCCUAGUCGUUGUGGGCAGAGACUUUAACCUCAUCCGAUCCCCGGAUGAGAAGAAUAAUGACCAGAUUAACCUCCCCCGGAUGCAGUUAUUCAAUGACUGA
rnacentral:rRNA from 1 species